AUUGAACGCUGGCGGCAUGCUUUACACAUGCAAGUCGAACGGUAACAGGUUAAGCUGACGAGUGGCGAACGGGUGAGUAAUGCAUCGGAACGUGCCCGGUCGUGGGGGAUAACGCAGCGAAAGCUGCGCUAAUACCGCAUACGAUCUGAGGAUGAAAGCGGGGGACCGUAAGGCCUCCCCCGUUCGUACCCGCGGAUGGCCGGUUAGGGAGUUGGUGGGGUAAAGGCCUACCAAGCCGACGAGCUGGACCUGGUCUGAGAGGACGACCAGCCACACUGGGACUGAGUCACGGCCCAGACUCCUACGGGAGGCAGCAGUGGGGAAUUUUGGACAAUGGGCGCAAGCCUGAUCCAGCAAUGCCGCGUGCAGGAAGAAGGCCUUCGGGUUGUAAACUGCUUUUGUACGGAGCGAAAAGGCUCUCUCUAAUACAGGGGGUUCAUGACGGUACCGUAAGAAUAAGCACCGGCUAACUACGUGCCAGCAGCCGCAGUAAUAC
rnacentral:rRNA from 1 species